rnacentral:lncRNA from 1 species
CCUCCUAACAGCAUGUGAAAACACCUGAUUUCCCAUUGUCAUGCAAGCGAUGGACAGUGCUUCUGUCCCACUGGGGGGAAUUUCUGCAUCACCAUCACUAAACUGGAUACAUGUGGGAUGAUUGCUGACCACAGAAAGAAGCCGAAGAUGAACCACCUACCUGCUGAAGGCAGAGGAUCAGCGCUGCUCCAGCCUUGCUCCUUGUUGGUACACAAGUUAGAGGGAGCAGUUGGGCUGAGAACCCAGAGGGGCAGCCUGGCCAAUGCAGUGUUGCAAACUCUGCCCCAUCCUGGCAGAGCAAUGCAAAGGCAGGGAGUUACCCCGAGUAAAACCCUUGCUCAGAUGGACCAUGAACGCAGCCACAGGAUAAGGUAGCAACCCAUAACGUAGGUAAGAAGCAUUUUGCAAAGGGGCAGUGCGUAAAAACAAGCCUG